UAAUACGGAGGAUGCAAGCGUUAUCCGGAUUUAUUAGGUUUAAAGGGUGCGUAGGCGGGACUUUAAGUCAGUGGUGAAAGGCAGUAGCUUAACUAUUGUAAGCCAUUGAUACUGGGGUUCUUGAGUUAGGUAGAGGUAGGCGGAAUGUGUUGUGUAGCGGUGAAAUGCUUAGAUAUAACACAGAACACCGAUUGCGAAGGCAGCUUACUAUGCCUAUACUGACGCUGAUGCACGAAAGCGUGGGGAUCAAACAGGAUUAGAUACCCUGGUAGUCCACGCUGUAAACGAUGAUCACUCGUUGUUGGCGAUAUACAGUCAGCGGCUAAGCGAAAGCGAUAAGUGAUCCACCUGGGGAGUACGUCGGCAACGAUGAAACUCAAAGGAAUUGACGGGGGCCCGCACAAGCGGAGGAACAUGUGGUUUAAUUCGAUGAUACGCGAGGAACCUUACCUGGGCUUAAAUGUAGGUUGCAUUCGGAUGAAAGUCUGAUUUCCUUCGGGACUACCUAUCAAGGUGCUGCAUGGUUGUCGUCAGCUCGUGCCGUGAGGUGUCGGGUUAAGUCCCAUAACGAGCGCAACCCUCAUUGCCAGUUACCAACACAAUAGGUGGGGACUCUGGCGAAACUGCCGGUGUAAACCGAGAGGAAGGUGGGGAUGACGUCAAAUCAGCACGGCCCUUAUGUCCAGGGCGACACACGUGUUACAAUGGCCAGUACAGAGGGCAGCCACCUGGUGACAGGGCGCUAAUCCCAAAAGCUGGUCUCAGUUCGGAUCGGAGUCUGCAACUCGACUCCGUGAAGCUGGAUUCGCUAGUAAUCGCACAUCAGCCAUGGUGCGGUGAAUACGUUCCCGGGCCUUGUACACACCGCCCGUCAAGCCAUGGGAGUUGGGGGUGCCUGAAGUCCGUGAUCUGUCGCAAGAUGGAAGCGGCCUAGGGUAAAACCAAUGACUGGGGCU
rnacentral:rRNA from 1 species